UUUUGUUUAUUUUUUAUCUUAUGUUAUAGUAUCUCAUUUUAUCAUUACCGCUGGUUUUACAUUAACCGCAGCUAAACGCACCGCUCAUUCAAACUCGCCAUUAGUCAUUUGAUACAUAAGAAUAGAGAGAAGGAAAAAAAAAACAAAUAGAAAAUAAAUAAACAUAUAAUUGGGAUUUACUUUCAUCAGUGUAAAACUUAAGUCGUUUUAUAUUCUUUCGUAACUUGUUAUAAGAUUAAUAGUUUAACAAUCCAAUCGUUGGAUUUAUCAAUAUAUUUAUACUUAUUGUAAUGGGCCAAAAUUGUCCGGCCCAUGACCCACAAAUAAAUAGACAUAAAUAAAAGUGUAUAUAUCUUUUAACAGCCCAAGAUACAAAAAAUAGAAGCCCAAACACAACUAAACCCAAACCCCAAAUGACCCAAAUAAAACCUAGCCCAAAAAGGCCCAAAACCUUAACACUUUCAGCCAACCUAGGAAACCCUAGCCCCUGAAACUUGCAACAGCCGCCGCUCCAACAGCCUCCGUGUCCCACGCCACUCGGACCUCUAACGCCGCACCACUCGCACCUCCACGUUAGAGCUCACGUCCACCACGCCACCUGCAAUGAAAAAACAGUUGUAAAAAGGCUAUAAAAGCCUCCAAAAAUCAUUGUAAAGGCUAUAAAGGCUAUUAGAGAGCAAUCAAAGCAGAGAAACAUUUUUAAAGGUGUUCUUUUAUUUUUUUUCUACUCUUUUGGUUUUUUUUUUCCGUUUUAUUUUAUUAUUAUUAUCAUUAUUUUUUUCCUUAUCAUUUUUUUCUAAAAAAAGGGAAAGAAAACAAAAAAAGAAAAAGAAAAAGGAAAUUUUACCUUCGGCGCCAGCGGUGGCAUGUGCGGCGGAGGCUUACCGGUCCCCUGGCCGGAUUCUGGAACCCUUCAGAGAAAAUAGGGUUUUUUUUUCCUUUUUUUGAAACUGAGGAGAAUAAUGAAAUUUUAAAAAAAAAUUCAACUUUUAUGGAAGGCCAAAACGGCACCGUUUUGUGCCACAAGCCUAGGCGCCAAAACGGCGCCGUUUAGGCACACGACCCGCGCACGUGACCCGACCCGGAGAGGAUCCGCGUGUUUUCAUUAAUGGGCUAUUUUCCACUUUAGCCCUUUCGUUUUUUAGAGCUUUGCAAUUUAAAUUUUCUUUAUUUCUAAUUUGGCCCCCGAAAUUUUGUUUCUAUUUUAAUUUGAUCCUUGGGCCUUUUAAAUUUGUGUAUUGAGACGGCCCCGUUUGGGAAUAGGGUAUAUUUUCCCUGUGAGUCCCUCCUUUAUGACGCGCGUUCCAAUUGGGUCCCUAGGUUGGCCCUAUCCUUUCAUUAUUUUAAAAUUGGCUACCAGAAUCUCAUCUAAACUCCAUUUUAG
rnacentral:lncRNA from 1 species